CUCGUAGGUGGCCAACUAAGUCAGACGUGAAAUCCCUCGGCUUAACCGGGGAACUGCGUCUGAUACUGGAUGGCUUGAGGUUGGGAGAGGGAUGCGGAAUUCCAGGUGUAGCGGUGAAAUGCGUAGAUAUCUGGAGGAACACCGGUGGCGAAGGCGGCAUCCUGGACCAAUUCUGACGCUGAGGAGCGAAAGCAGGGGAGCGAAACGGG
rnacentral:rRNA from 1 species